CCGAAUGUGUGCGUCCAGUCGUAAUACUCAUAAUCUGUGAGUCGCGUCGCGUCGUCGUAUAGGAAAAAUAUUUGUCAUGAUAAAUUAAAAUGCAAUUGGCAACUGGCAACAUUCAUGGAACGAAAAGUUCGACUGUCAAAAUGAAGAUUUGGCACAAAGGCUAAAACGCCAUGCCAUUAAAAAUUAAAAAAAAAAAAAGUUCGACUGCUUGAAGGGUGGGUCUUUCUUUCUUCUAUCUAUGUAUGCGAGCCAUGAGAUUACCAACAAUCGACAACAGAAUUAUUAAUUGAGAAAUACAUCCAAGUAAUAGUUAAAUAACCUAUAUAAUAAUACAAUCAUGUUCCGCUUACCCUAUGGAGAAAGAGUUGACCCCAUGGAAGAAAAGCGCCAAGCGCGUGAGAAUACCAUCAGUAGCGUGAUUACUUUCGCUAUACUUUGUGCCGCUAUCAGAGUGGCACCCAUAAUACUGGAACACAGUGGUCUUCAAGCUUAAGGAUAUACAUAAGAUACAAACCAAAAAAUGCUGGAAGAUUUAAUCAGCAGGUAGCUGCAUUGUUUAUUAUAGAAGAUGUUUGUUUCAAAUAAAUUCAUGUGAGCAA